rnacentral:rRNA from 1 species
GACGAACUGUCCAAACGUUGUUCGGAAUUACUGGGCGUAAAGCGUGCGCAGACGGUUACAUAAGUCGGGUGUGAAAGCCCCGGGCUCAACCUGGGAAUUGCAUUCGAGACUGUGUAGCUAGGGUACGGAAGAGGGAAGCGGAAUUUCAGGUGUAGCGGUGAAAUGCGUAGAUAUCUGAAGGAACACCAGUGGCGAAAGCGGCUUCCUGGUCCAGUACCGACGUUCAGGCACGAAAGCGUGGGGAGCAAACAGG